CUUACAGCCACAGCCUUAUCAUGUGAACUUUGACCAACUGAAGCACAGAAGACGCAGACCGGACUGGAGCUCGGGACUUCCGGCUGACUGAGAAAGCCAGUGUUCUACCUGGAGGAGCCAUUUUGACCCACGUCUCCGGAGACAGAGGACUGUACUUGUCAAGGUCAAUGAGGAGAGUGUCAAGAAACAAGAUUCCCUGGCUUGUUAGGCCAGGUGAGCUCACACCAGUGAAGCUUAAGUAGGAGGACCGCAGGGAGCUGAAGGUGGGCUACAGUAGGAGAUCCUGUCUCAAGAAAAUCAACCAAUUCGGGGCUCCAGUAUGGCAGAACGAACCAACAGAGUCCCAAUUCCUGGUCACCCGUAAGAACCACAGCCGCAGAGUAAUCCCACCCGGAGGACACAACUCUGCAAGGCUCUGCCGCGGCAGGCACCAACCGCAACCACUUCCCCUCCAACCUAACGUCCUGGGCUAGGCAGAGGUAACUUGAAACACGGCUGUGGUCAAACACAAGAACAGCAACGAAGGCAGCGCUCUCAUCAGCUUCUAAAUCACCGCACACAAGGUACAUCCAACGUGCACCAGGCACUGAGCUAGGUCCCUAAGGUACUAGGCUCUCAAUCUUCGCUGCAACUGGAACCCAGUGGGAUGCCUUUACAGGUAGCGAGAACGCCUGAAGCCAUCCCUAGAGACUUUGACUGAAUAAAGAAAACAUCAGGACUUGAAAUCCUGGAGGUGAGUCUAACAAACAACAACAUUCGGAAGUACAGGAAGUAGAAAUAGCUCAAAUGUUCCACAAUUUGAAAUGUGCUAUGCCCACACAAUGGAAUAGUAUUCGGCAAUGAAAAGGGAUGAAGACACAGGAUACAUGGUCUAACAAGGCGAAGCUUCAACACAUCAUGUCAAGCUAGUCACAGAAUGUUUCAUUUCUUUGAAAUGUCUAGCAUGGACAAA